CGUAGGUGGCAAGCGUUGUCCGGAAUUAUUGGGCGUAAAGCGCGCGCAGGCGGUUCCUUAAGUCUGAUGUGAAAGCCCCCGGCUCAACCGGGGAAGUCAUUGGAAACUGGGGAACUUGAGUGCAGAAGAGAAGAGCGGAAUUCCACGUGUAGCGGUGAAAUGCGUAGAGAUGUGGAGGAACACCAGUGGCGAAGGCGGCUCUUUGGUCUGUAACUGACGCUGAGGCGCGAAAGCGUGGGGAGCAAACAGGAUUAGAUACCCUGGUAGUCCACGCCGUAAACGAUGAGUGCUAAGUGUUAGAGGGUUUCCGCCCUUUAGUGCUGCAGCUAACGCAUUAAGCACUCCGCCUGGGGAGUACGGCCGCAAGGCUG
rnacentral:rRNA from 1 species